CCUACGGGAGGCAGCAGUGGGGAAUCUUGCGCAAUGGGCGAAAGCCUGACGCAGCAACGCCGCGUGCGGGAAGAAGGCUUUCGGGCUGUAAACCGCUUUCAGCAGGAACGAAAAUGACGGUACCUGCAGAAGAAGGAGCGGCCAACUAUGUGCCAGCAGCCGCGGUGAUACAUAGGCUUCAAGCGUUGUCCGGAUUUAUUGGGCGUAAAGAGUUCGUAGGCGGUCAAGUAAGUCGGGUGUGAAAAUUCUGGGCUCAACCCAGAGACGCCACCCGAUACUGCUUAACUUGAGUUCGAUAGGGGAGUGGGGAAUUCCUAGUGUAGCGGUGAAAUGCGCAGAUAUUAGGAGGAACACCGGUGGCGAAGGCGCCACUCUGGAUCGAUACUGACGCUGAGGACGAAAGCAUGGGUAGCAAACAGGAUUAGAUACCCUGGUAGUCCAUGCCGUAAACGGUGGGCACUAGGUGUGGGUUUCUAUUAACGAAAUCCGCGCCGUCGCUAACGCAUAGUAGCCGCCGNGGAGGUACGGUCGCGAGACGUAAACGUACGAAGAAGUAGUAACGGUCGUGUUAGACGUGCCGACGGACGACGACGAGGGAGGAGG
rnacentral:rRNA from 1 species